rnacentral:rRNA from 1 species
AUGCUUAAGAUUGAUCUUGCUAAGGCUUUUGAUCGUAUUGAAUGGAAUUUUAUUGUAUCUGCUCUUGCUCGUAAAGGUUUGCACGCUCAUUUUAUCAAUCUUAUUUAUGCUUGCAUUUCCUCUCCCAGUUUUUCUGUCAUCAUUAAUGGUCAACCUACUCAGAAAUUUAAAAGCAGCAGAGGCAUUAGGCAGGGAUGUUCCCUUUCUCCUUAUCUUUUCGUGCUUGCUAUUAAUGAACUUUCUCUUGCGCUUAAUGAGGCCAUGGCUAAUAACCACUUACAGGGUAUUUUGCUUGGUACAAAUUGCCCCCCUAUCCACUCUUUACUCUUUGCAGAUGAUCUUUUGGUCUGUGGUCAAGCAAGCAUUCGGGAGGCUCAAAUGAUGGCUCAGAUUAUUCAACAUUUUUGU